GACGUAGGGCGCGAGCGUUGUCCGGAUUUAUUGGGCGUAAAGAGCUCGUAGGCGGCUUGUCGCGUCGUCCGUGAAAACUUGGGGCUCAACCCCAAGCUUGCGGUCGAUACGGGCAGGCUAGAGUUCGGUAGGGGAGACUGGAAUUCCUGGUGUAGCGGUGAAAUGCGCAGAUAUCAGGAGGAUCACCGGUGGCGAAGGCGGGUCUCUGGGCCGAUACUGACGCUGAGGAGCGAAAGCGUGGGGAGCGAACAGG
rnacentral:rRNA from 1 species